rnacentral:lncRNA from 1 species
AUGUCUGGAGCGCGUCAACAAUCAGAGCUUUGCAUGCGCAAGCUGGUUGAGGCUAGGAUGGGGGUGAGGGGAAGGUUAAAUCGCAAGAGGGUGAAGGUCACAAUUCGGUCAAAUGUCCCCUUCACGGCGGGCGUCAGAUACCGACGCUCUGGCACAGAGCCUCUGGCACAGAGCCUCGCCUGUCAACUCUCCGGCCCGACCCCCACAAUAAUUGUCACUGUUUAUCGUCCCCCCAAGUUCAGCCCUGAGUUUUUAAAUGAACUCUCUGCUCUUUUAUCCCAUCUGUCCGCCCUUUCCCCAAAUGUAAUUUUACUUGGUGAUUUUAAUAUUCAUAUGGACAAUAUGGCCCUCCCCCUCAGCAAAGACUUCUCCUCAUCUUUGGACAGCCUCAGUUUUCAUCAAUAUGCCAAUUUUCCCACUCACAUUAAAGGUCACACCCUGGAUUUAAUCUGCUGCUCCGGCCUGACCCCCUCCAACUGUACAGCUGACCCGCUCCCUUUCACGGACCACUUCCUCAUCUCCUUUUCUGUUCCCCUCCGUCUCUCCAUCAUCAAGUCACCACGUAUCAUUUCUUUUCGUAAUAUUAAGGACAUUGAUCUAGCCUCCCUGUCCUCCAGUUUUGCCACCUUGACCCCUAAUUUGUCCUCUACUCCCGAUGAUCUUGUCAUUCAGUACAAUAACGGUCUGGUUUCUAUCCUUAAUUCAUUUGCUCCCAUCAAAUCCCGCUCUGUAUAUUUUACUCGGUCUGCUCCAUGGUUCACCCCUGCCCUUCGCUCCUUGAAAGCUACCAACCGGAGGCUUGAAAGACUCUACAAGAAAACCGGUCUCACCAUCCAUAAAGACUUAUAUUCUGCUCAGAUUUCUCUCUACAAGGACUCCAUCUCCCAUGCCAAAUCUCAGUAUUACUCCGGUCUCAUCUCGUCCAACUCCAGCAACACUAAAACAUUAUUUUCCAUCAUGAACAGCAUUUUUCAGCCUCCCGACUCCUUACCCAUCCAUCUUUACUCUUCAGAAACCUGUAACUCUCUCCUUCAGUUUUUUAAUGAGAAGGUCAAUAGAAUCCAUCUCUCUUUACCUCAUUCCUCCCCUCCCUCUCCUGAUUUAUUUGAACCCACCAUUCCGUUCUCCUCCUUUGAACUUCCCCAUCCCUCAGAAAUAUUAGAUUACAUCACCAAAUCCAAACCUUCCACCUGUCAACUGGACCCUAUUCCAACUGUUUUAGUUAAAUCCUGCCUUUCUUCUCUGCUCCCUUUUAUAACAGCCAUUAUUCAUUCCUCACUAUCCUCUGGUACGGUCCCAUCCCUAUUCAAAUCCGCUUCAGUCAGCCCUAUUCUAAAAAAACCUGGUUUAGAUCCCAAUGAUUUCAAUAACCUCCGUCCCAUUUCCCAUCUUCCCUUCAUUUCCAAAGUCCUUGAGAAAACUGUUGCAUCUCAGCUCCAUUCACAUCUCACCCGCAAUAACCUUUAUGAACAGUUUCAGUCUGGCUUCCGUCCCCACCACAGCACAGAAACAGCUCUCANCUGUUUCCAGUCCUGA